rnacentral:ncRNA from 2 species
AAAAAUCACUAGGGGUGCAUUUAAUAUGCUGAGAGGAAGUAAAAACUUUCAACCCUUGAACCUGUUGGUUAGUACCAGCGUAGGAAAGUGAAAUACAUAUACU